rnacentral:hammerhead_ribozyme from 1 species
GUACUGUUGAAGAGUCCCAAACUAGGACGAGACAUCUGUCCAGUAC